rnacentral:lncRNA from 1 species
AAAUCCUCUGAAUUUAUUCUAGAGGCCUGGCAGUCCAGCUCUGAGCUCACGGUAGUUGUGACUGAGAGAGAAAAAAUGGUCUGUUUCCCUAUCUCUCCCCUACAGGUCUAACAAUGCACCUGGCUGGAUCAGGAACAUCCACUUUUUCUCCAAAUGAAAGGUUACACACAUGUCACAUCAUUCCUGGGCCACACUCAAUUGCACGUGUGUCUUCUCUGUGAGCCGGGGCUUACACCUGAAGGCUUGCAGUCCACACACAACCCUCAUGCUUUGGCUGUGUUCCCAGCGGACAAGUUCAUCUUCAAGAAAACUAAGAGAUCUCUUCCCCUGAUAAAAAACAACUCCACGUUUGAUGGGACUCAGACCUGGGCUCUUCUGUCACCUCUAGGUAGGGAGGUAUUGGAGAGCAAGUUUAGGAGUCACCCUACCAAGUGGGUAUGAUGAUGAAGGUGAGCUGCUAAGAAAGAGGUUGAGAGACAGCUGAUGUUUGUUUCAAGCCAAUCUUCUUCAACCCCAGGCACCAGGAGCAGAGGGCCAGUGGAUAAAGAUUAAGUAGGAUGGAAUCUGCAAUAAAGCCAAAUGUGUGGGUUGUAUUGCUGAUCUU